rnacentral:rRNA from 1 species
UACGUAGGGGGCAAGCGUUGUCCGGAUUUAUUGGGCGUAAAGAGCGUGUAGGCGGCCUUACAGGUCAGCUGUGAAAACUCGAGGCUCAACCUCGAGACGUCGGUUGAAACCGUAUGGCUAGAGUCCGGAAGAGGAGAGUGGAAUUCCCGGUGUAGCGGUGAAAUGCGCAGAUAUCGGGAGAACACCGGUGGCGAAGGCGGUCUCUGG